rnacentral:rRNA from 1 species
UUGAGCGCUGACGGCAGCCUAACACAUGCAAGUCGAACGGUAACAGGAAGCAGCUUGCUGUUUCGCUGACGAGUGGCGGACGGGUGAGUAAUGUCUGGGAAACUGCCUGAUGGAGGGGGAUAACUACUGGAAACGGUAGCUAAUACCGCAUAACGUCGCAAGACCAAAGAGGGGGACCUUCGGGCCUCUUGCCAUCGGAUGUGCCCAGAUGGGAUUAGCUUGUUGGUGGGGUAACGGCUCACCAAGGCGACGAUCCCUAGCUGGUCUGAGAGGAUGACCAGCCACACUGGAACUGAGACACGGUCCAGACUCCUACGGGAGGCAGCAGUGGGGAAUAUUGCACAAUGGGCGCAAGCCUGAUGCAGCCAUGCCGCGUGUAUGAAGAAGGCCUUCGGGUUGUAAAGUACUUUCAGCGGGGAGGAAGGGAGUAAAGUUAAUACCUUUGCUCAUUGACGUUACCCGCAGAAGAAGCACCGGCUAACUCCGUGCCAGCAGCCGCGGUAAUACGGAGGGUGCAAGCGUUAAUCGGAAUUACUGGGCGUAAAGCGCACGCAGGCGGUUUGUUAAGUCAGAUGUGAAAUCCCCGGGCUCAACCUGGGAACUGCAUCUGAUACUGGCAAGCUUGAGUCUCGUAGAGGGGGGUAGAAUUCCAGGUGUAGCGGUGAAAUGCGUAGAGAUCUGGAGGAAUACCGGUGGCGAAGGCGGCCUCCUGGACGAAGACUGACGCUCAGGUGCGAAAGCGUGGGGAGCAAACAGG